AUGAAGACCCUCAUGAGCACAUUAGUAAUGUUCUGGAGUAUGCCAAUACAGUCCAGUAUCAUGGCGUUUCCCAAGAUGCUAUCAAGUGUAUGUUGUUCACAUUCUCUCUCAGAGAUGCUGCUAAGGACUGGUACUAUUCUUUGCCAUCAAGAUCAUACACUUGGGGUGAUAUUUCACAAGCUUUCCUGCAUAGAUAUUUUCCACUUUACAAGCAAGCUGCAAUUCGUGACCAGAUCCUCAGUUUUGCGCAAGAUGGUAGUGAGAGCUUGUAUGCAGCUUGGGAGAGAUAUAAGUAUUUUGCUUAGAAAAUGUCCUAAUCAUGGGCAAAAGGAUUGGUUAGUGCUUCAGAUAUUCUAUAGAGGGCUGACACAUGCUUCAAGAGAUCUUAUUGAUAUGUCAGCUGGUGGAACAAUCAUGAACAAGACCGUCGAGGGUGCAAUUAUUCUCAUUGAGAGCAUUGCCUUCCACCAAAUGCAAUGGGGUUAUGAAAGGCCUAGUUCAAAUCCGAAGGUUGCAAGCCUCGUGCAAUCAGAAGUUGUGUGUUCCAUAAGUGAACAGAAAUCAUCCAUGGUGCCUAAUAUUCAAAACCAGCAUGUUUCAUUCCGGGGACAACAACAUUUCAGAACUGAAUUAGAUCCUCCAUAUAGAACGAUUGAUCUUACUUCAAUUAUCCUUGAUGAUGAUUAUGAUAUUUUUCAAGAUGAUGAAACUACUGUAGAUCAGAUGGAAACCACAGUAGCAGAUCCAAUACCUCAUGGCAAUGAAACUGUCCAGAAUGAGUCAAAGCUGCAAGAAGAUGUUUAUGAGGAACCUACUCUGAUUGAUGCUAAGUUGAGACAGCAAGAUAUGGAGAAAUUCACUUGUGUUAGUCAACUAUGUGACUGGUGGAAUUUAGUCGUGUCACCAAUUGCCCACACUUGUGUUACAACGGUAUCUGGGCUAUUUGUCAAGAAGAAAUCAUUAGCUCCACCGGUGGUUGCCUCUAUCGCAGUUAAAGAGAGUAUCUCAGAGAAGAAUAGUGAAGAUGAGAUUCCAACUCCUGCACAUACAACUAAGCAAGUUGGAGCCAUUCCAAGGAGAGAGAUACAAGAGGUUGAGUCAAAUUUAGAAGAGUUGAUACUUCAAUAUCCUAAGAAGAUCCCACGUGUUGCUGAGCUGCAUGACUGGUGGAAGUCAUCAGUGUCACUGUUGAGACUUAGUAGUGAUGGUGAUGAGGAGAACAUUGCUCAGAAAGACAGCGAGGUAGUGAUCUCAGCACCCCUACCAGAUCAUGUUAGUGAAUAUUCACAUAUGGGGACACUUCAGACUCAAUUAAGUGUUGCUGGUAGUAGCACCAUAGAAGAUCCAGAGGAAGAGAGUCCUCAACUUGAAGAAGAUUUACAAGAAGACAAGGAACAAGAUGAUCAAGAGCUGCAAUUUCCAAGUGAUCAAGUUGAAGACUCAUCAUCUACUACUCCUGAAGAAGUACAAGAAGCUGCAGUAGAUGAAUAUGAAGAACCUGAGAUUCAUUGGCCUAUUGUCAUACAUGAGCGCGAUGUGUCAGUACUUUCCUCGUGCUACUUCUAUGCUUAA
rnacentral:rRNA from 1 species